rnacentral:misc_RNA from 1 species
GAUGAAGAACGUAGCGAAAUGCGAUAAGUAAUGUGAAUUGCAGAAUUCAGUGAAUCAUCGAAUCUUUGAACGCACAUUGCGCCCGCCAGUAUUCUGGCGGGCAUGCCUGUCCGAGCGUCAUUUCAACCCUCGAACCCCUCCGGGGGGUCGGCGUUGGGGAUCGGCCCUGCCUCUUGGCGGUGGCCGUCUCCGAAAUACAUUGGCGGUCUCGCUGCAGCCUCCAUUGCGUAGUAGCUAACACCUCGCAACUGGAACGCGGCGCGGCCAUGCCGUAAAACCCCAACUUCUGAAUGUUGACCUCGGAUCAGGUAGGAAUACCCGCUGAACUUAAGCAUAUCAAUAAGCGGAGGA